rnacentral:tRNA from 1 species
GGGGCGGUAGCUCAAGCGGUGAGAGCUCCGGUCUUAUAAACCGGCGGUUGCGGGUUCAAGUCCCGUUCGCCCCACCA